rnacentral:rRNA from 1 species
UAUUGGGAUUCNACUAAGCCAUGCGAGUCGUGAGGGUUCGGCCCUCGGCGAACGGCUCAGUAACACGUAGAUAAUUUGCCCUUAGGUGGAGGAUACCCUCGGGAAACUGAGAAUAAUACUCCAUAGAUUUAGAAUGCUGGAAUGCUUUUAAAUUGAAAGAUUUAUCGCCUAAGGAUAAGUCUGCGGACUAUCAGGUCGUAGUUAGGGUAAAUACCUGACUAGCCUACGACGGAUACGGGUUGUGAGAGCACUAGCCCGGAGAUGAUAUCUGAGACACGAUAUCAGGCCCUACGGGGCGCAGCAGGCGCGAAAACUUCGCACUGUGCGAAAGCACGACGAGGGAAUCCCAAGUGCUGGCUCGUAAGAGUCAGCUGUUUCUUUGUCUAAAAAACAGAGAGAGUAAGAGCUGGGUAAGACGGGUGCCAGCCGCCGCGGUAAUACCUGCAGCUCAAGUGGUGGCCGCUAUUAUUGGGCCUAAAACGUCCGUAGCCGGUUCUAUAAAUGCCUGGGUAAAUCGUACGGCUUAACCGUACGAAUUCCGGGUAGACUGUUCAACUUGGGACCGGGAGAGGCCAGAGGUACUCCUGGGGUAGAGGUGAAAUUCUGUAAUCCUAGGGGGACCACCAGUGGCGAAGGCGUCUAGCUAGAACGGGUCUGACGGUGAGGGACGAAGCCUGGGGAGCAACGGGAUUA